UGGUGUUAAAGCUUCUGUUUCACAUGCACACUGUUGAUGAAUUAAAGACAAAGAAAAACAAAAGCAAAGUUAGGAGAGUCAAUGAUGGUGACAACUCAAGGGAACUGAGAGAUGGCUCUAGUGAUUUAAAUAGCUUACAAAGCUCGGGGCACGAGGCAGCAAUCGCAACAACAACUAAUUUACAGCAGAUUAUAAACUUCCCAAAAUAUUCAGGACAUCAGCAGGGCUGAGUGUAAAAGCAGGAUGACCAGUCCUAUUGUCGAGCCAUACUGGGCAACAGGAGGUGUGUCUGGCCGGCAUCAUCUUUCCCCGGGAGUAAAGUGGGCCUACAGAAAAGUACUCAGAACAGCCUGAAAGUGAAGCCUGGGGAUGGAGUGACUCUUCACCCCCUGAUAGGGUCUGUGUUACAGGCAGAAGAUGUGCAUCUCUCCACCAGAUGGAAAGAUCCCACUCUCUGGAAACUUACUCUCCCUGAUGUAUUUUGGCGGAGCGUGUAGUCUGCGGGUGACGGGGGUCGACGGCCUUUCCCUUUUCCCGGCCUACUCCGGGACUGGAGCCUGAUACAGAGGAGGCCUCUGACGCUGGGCUCCACCUUCGCCCUGGGCUCCACCUUCGCCCUGGGCUCCACCUUCGCCCUGGGCUCCACCUCCGCCCAGGGCUCCACCUCCAUGGACCUGAGGUGCAGGCCAGGGAUCCGGGGCAGCCUGGUCCUGCAUCCAGUACCCCCUGCAGGCCUGCCUGUGUGCCAUGUGUCCCUCCAACUCUCCCCGGCAACCCCCAGACUCCCGCUGAGUCUGAACAGGGCAGUCUCAGUCUAGAGGUGGAGAAUAAGGUGAAGUUCAGAGACGGGCACAAAGAGGCUCAAGAGGAGGAGGAUACGGCAGCCCUGAGAUCAAAAGUCAUAUACAGUAUGAUCCCGAGAGAGACUUCUCCAACUACGGAAUCACACCUCCUAGGGGGGUUCUCCUUUAUGGCCCCCCGGGAACAGGAAAGACUAUGAUUGGAUGAGCCAUAGCCAAUGAGGUCGGGGCACAUAUGACCGUAAUCAACCGUCCAUAAAUCAUGAGCAAAUUUUAUGGUGAAACAGAGGUCAGAUUGAGGCAGAUAUUCACAGGAGCCUCUCAAAGCGAAUCAGUCUAAUGAGAAAAAGAGAGCGCAGGCCCACGAUCAGAGAUGGCUCGACAGCCGCCCUCCGGCCCUUUAGAGAACACAGGGAGCCUGGGAAACCCAUCACCGCUGGUCGCCAUGAUGUGCCAAAUUGGCAUCACGCUAUGGCCAAGUAUAUCUUCAUCUCCCCAACCCAGCUCCUUGGUGCAGAUGGUGCACUGAAGCAGCCGCUCUCCCUCCUGCUAUCUGUUUUCCAUACCGAUGCUAAGGCUUGUUGUAUAAUCCAAGGUCACCAACCACCAAGGGCCUGCUGCUGUGGAAUGUGGCGAGAGCACUUCCUGCUCCCAGAAUUCUUCUCUCCACUCUCACUGUAAUUUAUUUGUGUUUUGGUCCCUCUGCUGGGCCUGUGGCAUAGGGGGAGGUGGAAAUAGCAUUAUUUCUCAGCUGGACCACCUAUUUUAGAACAUAGUACAAGGAGCUCUGUUAUACUAUUAAUAUUGUAUUGCCAGAUAAUGCCUGAUAGUGUCAGAAGAUGUAAACCAGUAAUUUAUUAAGCCUUCAGACACAUUUAUGGUCUGGAAAUGUCCUUUAUGUUUGAGCUUUUGGUGCCGGGGUCAUUGGUUAGGGCUAAGAUUAUUGAUUAAUAAUUUAUGACAACUACAUGCUCAAAUUCAAGCACAGUCAUACUACCUUAAAAGCAUACUUGCUUCGUCCUACUGUUCCAAUUGCUCUCUCACAUUCAAACCCCUCAUUUAUUGAUUUAACGCCUGUUUUACCAGGGAAGUUGACAAAGUUGAAUGCACAUUCUCAUACCACUGUAACAUUCCUAACUGUCCUGGUUUGUCUCUUCCUCCAGGAGGGCCACUCAGGCCAGCUGCUGGUCCUAGGGGCCACCAACUGGCCCCACCCCCUGGACCCAGCUCUCUAAAUCAAAUUUUAUUUGUCACAUGCGCCGAAUACAACAGGUGUAGACCUUAACGUGAAAUGCUUACUUAC